UUCCUGAUCCUAGGUGUUAUGUUGAGUGUUGUUCUUUGGUCUCUAGGAACUCUGAGCAGCAGCAGGGCACCUAUAGAGCUGCUGACUUGGAUUGUCCUGUGGCCAUAUUCACUGUCAUCUUGAUAUUACUGGUGAACCUGAUGCACAGGCUCCAAUGCUGGACGUCUCGCUACCCACCGGGCCCCGUGCCAUGGCUUGUGCUGGGUAACCUGCUGCAGGCAGACCUACAUAACAUGACAUACAACUUAUACAAGAAGGUGCAUCAGAGAUAUCCUACCUAGAUUCCACUGGGACUUCUGAGCCUUUGAUCUUCAGAGGCGUGGAUCCAGCAAGGGCAGGGACUGAGCCUAUGCUGACCCUAGUGAAUGGUGAGCUGGCAUGUGCUGUGGCACAGCAGUGCCCAGCACACAAGUACCAUUUGUUGGAAGACUCAGGAGUCAUCUUUCUGUUUUCCUCAAUAUAACCCAUCCUGACCACAGACCUUUGGCCUGAAGAGAAAUCUGCCUUAUCUAUGUUAAUGUGGAAGACUGUUGCCAGGAGAAAUUGACAUACCAAGAAACAGAGGGUGAAUAAGACAGAUGCCAGCAUAUGACAAGUACCUGAACCAACUUAGAGUCCCACCAAGAUUCCCAGACCAUUUCUCAGCUUCCUCAGACUGGAUCUGAGAAAUGUGGCAUUUUAUAUCUUCCUGUCUGAUCAACUGAGUGACUAUAGACCUGUACUGAAGAUUGUAAAUACUCUAGUUCUCUUGCCCUAGUGGCCCUCACUCACCCACAGGGAAUCCAGCUGCUCUCCCCCAUGCCCUUUCCCUUACCCAUAGGGGUUCCAGCCUCAUUUCCGCUAAUGCGGGAGACAGCUCUGACAGCUCACACACCCAGAGAAGCCAUUGACUGAAUGCCAGUCAACCCCCAUGUCCUGCCAAAAA
rnacentral:lncRNA from 1 species